rnacentral:rRNA from 1 species
CUACGGGUUGCUGCAGUGAGGAAUAUUGGGCAAUGGACGCAAGUCUGACCCAGCAACGCCGCGUGGGGGAUGAAGGUCGUAAGAUCGUAAACCCCUUUUCUAAAGGAUGAACAUCCAUUAUUUGCAAAGGUAAUGGUCUGACCGUACUUUGGGAAUAAGCCCCGGCUAACUACGUGCCAGCAGCCGCGGUAAUACGUAGGGGGCAAGCGUUGUCCGGAUUUACUGGGUGUAAAGGGAGCGCAGGCUGUCUAAUAAGUCAGAGGUGAAAUCUUGCAGCUUAACUGUGAAACUGCCUUUGAUACUGUUAGACUUGAGUACUAGAGAGAGAGACGGAAUUCCAGGUGUAGUGGUGAAAUACGUAGAUAUCUGGAAGAACACCAGAGGCGAAGGCGGUCUCUUGGCUAGUUUACUGACGCUGAGGCUCGAAAGCGUGGGGAGCUAACAGGAUUAGAUACCCGUGUAGUC